rnacentral:rRNA from 1 species
CAUUGUUUAAUGUAUAUAUUAAAUAUAUUCUGCCCAGUGAAUUUAACGGCCGCAGUACCUUGACUGUGCUAAGGUAGCAUAAUAAUUUGGCUUUUAAUUGAAGUCUAGAAUGAAAGGGAAAUGGAAAAAUUGUCUCUUUAGAAUUAUUAAAUUUACUUAAAAGGUGAAAAUUCCUUUAGUUUUAAUUAGACGAGAAGACCCUUAGAAUUUGUUAUAAUUUUGUUGGGGCGACAAAGUUACAUAGAACUUAUUGUAUAAUUUAACAUGCCGAGUACGAUUAAAUUACCUGAGGGAUAACAGCAUAACUAUAAGAUUAUGACCUCGAUGUUGGAUUAGGAACUAUUGGUAAGUAAUUAAUAUAGUUCUGUUCGAACCCUACGUGA